ACAGAGAUGUUGCUCAUUCCCGGAGAUCAGUCUCCAACCCAGGACCUAGUCAUUUCUCUUGAUGACUCCCAGAUCAGACCAUCUGAUAAGGACUUUACCCUUCUGGCAGACCCGUAACCUGUGAAACUGUCUGUUGAAACUACGGCCGAUUUUUCUUUUGCAGCUACAUCUAAACACGUCCAAUCCUUGCCCAAUUGCAUCAUGCUUCUUCUCCACCAAUGCCGAUCCCUGCUCUGAUUGAGGAAAACGAAGCAAACCCACACCCCCUCCAGCACGUGGGCAGCAAGCCGCAUGCACCUUAUCACCCACACAUUGAUGAGUGUUGUGCCACCUAGCGUUGUGUGCGGAGAGACACACCCUAAGAGCACUCUUCCCUCAUCUCUGUGUAGGCGCCUCUAAUCAGCCAACAGAGGUCAAAAUUGCACCAUUCUGACAGAGAGAGACUCAUAUCCGGCUUAGUCCCACCCAUCUGAACAACAGGCCAAUCGUUGUUCAUGUGGCCGCUCAGUCUCAGCCGGAAAGACAGAGCUGAGACUCGAUACGAUGUAUACAAGAUCCCAGCUCUGGUUGCAGCCUGUGAUUUUACCACUGCGCCACCUGAGA